UACGUAGGGGGCUAGCGUUGUCCGGAAUCAUUGGGCGUAAAGCGCGUGUAGGCGGUUCGGUAAGUCCGCUGUGAAAGUCGGGGGCUCAACCCUCGAAUGCCGGUGGAUACUGUCGGGCUCGAGUCCGGAAGAGGCGAGUGGAAUUCCUGGUGUAGCGGUGAAAUGCGCAGAUAUCAGGAGGAACACCAAUGGCGAAGGCAGCUCGCUGGGACGUGACUGACGCUGAGACGCGAAAGCGUGGGGAGCAAACAGG
rnacentral:rRNA from 1 species